rnacentral:rRNA from 1 species
CCCUUAGAUGUUCUGGGCCGCACGCGCGCUACACUGACGGAGGCAGCGAGCGUGUCCUUCGCCGGCAGGUGCGGGCAAUCUUGCGAGUCUCCGUCGUGCUGGGGAUAGAUGGUUGCAAUUGUCGAUCUUGAACGAGGAAUUCCUAGUAAGCGCGAGUCAUCAGCUCGCGCUGAUUACGUCCCUGCCCUUUGUACACACCGCCCGUCGCUACUACAGAGUGCCCGUGUCCAAGAAACGGUCGGACCUGUGCGGCCCCUCCGGGCGACCGGAGGGCCGUUACGGGGAAGACCCUUUAUUUGACGCGGGUCGAUGAAGUAAAAGUCGUAACA